ACAGGGAAGUUGUAGUGUUCGUGUAGGUUAGGACUAGUAACAGGGAUGUUGUAGGUUAGGACUAGUAACAGGGAUGUUGUAGUGUAGGUUAGGACUAGUAACAGGGAUGGUGUAGUGUAGGUUAGGACUAGUAACAGGGAUGUUGUAGUGUUAGUGUAGGUUAGGACUAGUAACAGGGAUGUUGUAGGUUAGGACUAGUAACAGGGAUGUCGUAGUGUUGGUGGAGGUUAGGAGUAGUAAGAGGGAUGUUAUAGUGGGGGUUAGGAGUAGUAACAGGGAUGUUGUAGUGGUGGUGUAGGUUAGGAGUAGUAACAGGGAUGUUGUAGUGUAGGUUAGGACUAGUAACAGGGAUGUUGUAGUGUUGGUGGAAGUUAGGACUAGUAACAGGGAUGUUGUAGUGUUGGUGUAGGUUAGGACUAGUAACAGGGAAGUUGUAGUGUAGGUUAGGACUAGUAACAGGGAUGUUGUAGGUUAGGACUAGUAACAGGGAUGUUGUAGUGUUGGUGUAGGUUAGGACUAGUAACAGGGAUGUUGUAGUGUUGGUGGAGGUUAGGACUAGUAACAGGGAUGUUGUAGUGUUGGUGGAGGUUAGGAGUAGUAACAGGGAUGUUGUAGUGUUGGUGGAGGUUAGGAGUAGUAACAGGGAUGUUAGGAGUAGUAAUAGGGGUGUUGUAGUGUUGGUGGAGGUUAGGAGUAGUAACAGGGAUGUUGUAGUGUAGGUUAGGACUAGUAACAGGGAUGUUGUAGUGUUGGUGGGGGUUAGGACUAGUAACAGGGAUGUUGUAGUGUUGGUGUAGGUUAGGACUAGUAACAGGGAUGUUGUAGUGUUGGUGUAGGUUAGGACUAGUAACAGGGAUAUUGUAGUGUAGGUUAGGACUAGUAACAGGGAUGUUGUAGUGUUGGUGGAGGUUAGGACUAGUAACAGGGAUGUUGUAGUGUUGGUGGAGGUUAGGAGUAGUAACAGGGAUGUUGUAGUGUUGGUGGAGGUUAGGAGUAGUAACAGGGAUGUUGUAGUGUUGGUGGAGGUUAGGAGUAGUAACAGGGAUGUUGUAGUGUUGGUGGAGGUUAGGAGUAGUAAGAGGGAUGUUAUAGUGGGGGUUAGGAGUAGUAACAGGGAUGUUGUAGUGGUGGUGUAGGUUAGGAGUAGUAACAGGGAUGUUGUAGUGGGGGUUAGGAGUAGUAACAGGGAUGUUGUAGUGGUGGUGUAGGUUAGGAGUAGUAACAGGGAUGUUAUAGUGUUGUUGGAGGUUAGGACUAGUAACAGGGAUUUUGUAGUGUUGUUGGAGGUUAGGACUAGUAACAGGGAUGUUGUAGUGUUGUUGGAGGUUAGGAGUAGUAACAGGGAUGUUGUAGUGGGGGUUAGGAGUAGUAACAGGGGUGUUAUAGUGUUGUUGGAGGUUAGGACUAGUAACAGGGAUUUUGUAGUGUUGUUGGAGGUUAGGACUAGUAACAGGGAUGUUGUAGUGUUGUUGGAGGUUAGGACUAGUAACAGGGAUUUUGUAGUGUUGUUGGAGGUUAGGACUAGUAACAGGGAUUUUGUAGUGUUGUUGGAGGUUAGGACUAGUAACAGGGAUUUUGUAGUGUUGGUGGAGGUUAGGACUAGUAACAGGGAUGUUGUAGUGUUGGUGUAGGUUAGGACUAGUAACAGGGAAGUUGUAGUAUAGGUUAGGACUAGUAACAGGGAUGUUGUAGUGUAGGUUAGGACUAGUAACAGGGAUGUUGUAGUGUUGGUGUAGGUUAGGACUAGUAACAGGGAUAUUGUAGUGUAGGUUAGGACUAGUAACAGGGAUGUUGUAGUGUUGGUGGAGGUUAGGACUAGUAACAGGGAUGUUGUAGUGUUGGUGGAGGUUAGGACUAGUAACAGGGAUGUUGUAGUGUUGGUGUAGGUUAGGACUAGUAACAGGGAAGUUGUAGUGUAGGUUAGGACUAGUAACAGGGAUGUUGUAGUGUAGUGUAGGUUAGGACUAGUAACAGGGAUGUUGUAGUGUUGGUGGAGGUUAGGAGUAGUAACAGGGAUGUUGUAGUGUUGGUGGAGGUUAGGAGUAGUAACAGGGAUGUUGUAGUGUUGGUGGAGGUUAGGAGUAGUAACAGGGAUGUUAGGAGUAGUAAUAGGGGUGUUGUAGUGUUGGUGGAGGUUAGGAGUAGUAACAGGGAUGUUAGGAGUAGUAAUAGGGGUGUUGUAGUGUUGGUGGGGGUUAGGACUAGUAACAGGGAUGUUGUAGUGUUGGUGUAGGUUAGGACUAGUAACAGGGAAGUUGUAGUGUAGGUUAGGACUAGUAACAGGGAUGUUGUAGUGUAGGUUAGGACUAGUAACAGGGAUGUUGUAGUGUUGGUGUAGGUUAGGACUAGUAACAGUGAUAUUGUAGUGUAGGUUAGGACUAGUAACAGGGAUGUUGUAGUGUUGGUGUAGGUUAGGACUAGUAACAGGGAUGUUGUAGUGUUGGUGGAGGUUAGGACUAGUAACAGGGAUGUUGUAGUGUUGGUGGAGGUUAGGAGUAGUAACAGGGAUGUUGUAGUGUUGGUGGAGGUUAGGAGUAGUAACAGGGAUGUUGUAGUGUUGGUGGAGGUUAGGAGUAGUAACAGGGAUGUUAGGAGUAGUAAUAGGGGUGUUGUAGUGUUGGUGGGGGUUAGGACUAGUAACAGGGAUGUUGUAGUGUUGGUGUAGGUUAGGACUAGUAACAGGGAAGUUGUAGUGUAGGUUAGGACUAGUAACAGGGAUGUUGUAGUGUAGGUUAGGACUAGUAACAGGGAUGUUGUAGUGUUGGUGUAGGUUAGGACUAGUAACAGUGAUAUUGUAGUGUAGGUUAGGACUAGUAACAGGGAUGUUGUAGUGUUGGUGGAGGUUAGGAGUAGUAACAGGGAUGUUGUAGUGUUGGUGGAGGUUAGGAGUAGUAACAGGGAUGUUGUAGUGUUGGUGGAGGUUAGGAGUAGUAACAGGGAUGUUGUAGUGUUGGUGGAGGUUAGGAGUAGUAAGAGGGAUGUUAUAGUGGGGGUUAGGAGUAGUAACAGGGAUGUUGUAGUGGUGGUGUAGGUUAGGAGUAGUAACAGGGAUGUUGUAGUGGGGGUUAGGAGUAGUAACAGGGAUGUUGUAGUGGUGGUGUAGGUUAGGAGUAGUAACAGGGAUGUUAUAGUGUUGUUGGAGGUUAGGACUAGUAACAGGGAUUUCGUAGUGUUGUUGGAGGUUAGGACUAGUAACAGGGAUGCUGUAGUGUUGUUGGAGGUUAGGAGUAGUAACAGAGAUGUUGUAGUGGGGGUUAGGAGUAGUAACAGGGGUGUUAUAGUGUUGUUGGAGGUUAGGACUAGUAACAGGGAUUUUGUAGUGUUGUUGGAGGUUAGGACUAGUAACAGGGAUGUUGUAGUGUUGUUGGAGGUUAGGACUAGUAACAGGGAUUUUGUAGUGUUGUUGGAGGUUAGGACUAGUAACAGGGAUUUUGUAGUGUUGUUGGAGGUUAGGACUAGUAACAGGGAUUUUGUAGUGUUGGUGGAGGUUAGGAGUAGUAACAGGGAUGUUGUAGUGUUGGUGAAGGUCAGGACGAGUAACAGGGUUUCUGAGCCAAGGUGGUGUUGAUGUUGUCUAUAUGGAAGUGCUGCCCUGGAAGAGCAAGGUAGUCAUCCAGGGUUGUCGACCCAGCCGCGCAUUUCUCUUUCUGUCUGUUCCUCUCUCGUUCUUUGUUGCUUUCUCUCUCUCGCUCAAUCUCUACCUCUCCUCUCUCUCCCUCCAUCUCGCUCUCUUCAUCGGUCUCUCUGGCUUUCCCUCCAUCUCUCUCUCUCUGUUUGUUGGUGAUUACAUCACUUGCCCUCUCUCUCUCUCUCUCUCUCUCUCUCUCUCUCUCUCUCUCUCUCUG